AGCUCCACUCACCGGUGGCUGUGGGGCCUCGGGAGCUGCCAGUGUGGUUCAUGAGUGGGCAGCUUGAGGAUGCAGGUGUGACCCCAAAGAACAAUCCCCUCUCAUGAAAGUACAGCAGCUUCUUUCCUCGUCCGCGAGGUCUUGGGCUGUAUCAGUUUCUAGUUCAAACACUGGCACCUUGGGGCAGUGAGGCCUGAGUCGGCAAAGGCAGUGGUGGGGACUGUGAUACAACGGCCAUUGAAGAUCUAAGAGGAGCUGGUUUCUGUAUGGGAUCAGGUGUCAGAGAAAAGUAGACAAUAGUAAAGGUGACAACAGCCUGACAGCUCGUAUCGUCCAAUCGGAGCCUGGCUGCAGAGGAAGUCUGUGGACCACAAAAAGAACUUCUGAAAAGAGAACAGCUUCCUCCUCCGUACAUCCCCCUGGAGAUGAUGGUAGCUGCGCACAUGUCUACCCUGCGGCCCCCCUGUCCGACCUGGAGGGCCCCCAGCGUUCCUGGUCCUAAGGACAAGUUCAGUC